GGGUUAAUAGUAUAUUUAUUAUGUUGCUUUUCCAAAGCAGAGAUCUUUUUAUUUAGUUAGCUCA
rnacentral:tRNA from 1 species